AUUGAACGCUGGCGGCAGGCCUAACACAUGCAAGUCGAGCGCGCGGCUGACGGGUGAGUUAUGUCUGGGGACUGCCCGAUAGAUGGGGAUAACUUCUGGAAACGGUGGCUAAUACCGCAUACUACCGGAUAACCCAUAUGGGAUUAGCUAGUAGGUGGGGUAAAGGCUCACCUACGCGCCGAUCUCUAGCUGGUCUGAGAGGUUGAUCAGCAACCCGGUGAAGGUGAGAAGGCCAAGACUCCUGCGGAGGCAGCAGUGGGGAAUAUUGCGCAAUGGGCGCAAGUCUGAUGCAGCCAUGCCGCGUGUAUGAGGAAGGCCUUAGGGUUGUAAAGUACUAUCAGCGGGGAGGAGUUACCAGAAGAAGAAGCGCCGGCUAACUCCGUGCCAGCAGCCGCGGUAAUAC
rnacentral:rRNA from 1 species